rnacentral:rRNA from 49 species
UUUGUACACACCGCCCGUCGCUACUACCGAUUGAAUGGCUCAGUGAGGCCUUCGGACUGGCUCAGGGAGGUCGGCAACGACCACCCAGAGCCGGAAAGUUGGUCAAACUCGGUCAUUUAGAGGAAGUAAAAGUCGUAACAAGGUCUCCGUAGGUGAACCUGCGGAGGGAUCAUUA